GAUUGGUCCCCUCGCAAUAGUCAGCUGUGAACCCCGCCAGGCCCGGAAGGGAGCAACGGUAGCAGCCCGAUUGUGUGCCGGGGUGUGGCUGGUCAGG
rnacentral:SRP_RNA from 1 species